rnacentral:rRNA from 1 species
GACGAACGCUGGCGGCGUGCUUAACACAUGCAAGUCGAACGGUGAAGCGCCUUCCUUUUUGGUGGGUGUGGAUGAGUGGCGAACGGGUGAGUAACACGUGAGUAACCUGCCCCCUUCUUCUGGAUAACCGCAUGAAAGUGUGGCUAAUACGGGAUAUUCUGGGCCUGUCGCAUGAUGGGUCUGGGAAAGAUAUUGUUUCGGUGGGGGAUGGGCUCGCGGCCUAUCAGCUUGUUGGUGGGGUGAUGGCCUACCAAGGCGGUGACGGGUAGCCGGCCUGAGAGGGUGGACGGUCACACUGGGACUGAGACACGGCCCAGACUCCUACGGGAGGCAGCAGUGGGGAAUAUUGCACAAUGGGCGCAAGCCUGAUGCAGCGACGCCGCGUGAGGGAUGGAGGCCUUCGGGUUGUGAACCUCUUUCGCCAGUGAGGCAGGCCUGCCUCGUUUGUGGGUGGGUUGACGGUAGCUGGAUAAGAAGCGCCGGCUAACUACGUG